CCUACGGGAGGCAGCAGUGGGGAAUAUUGCACAAUGGGGGAAACCCUGAUGCAGCGACGCCGCGUGGGUGAAGAAGUAAUUCGUUACGUAAAGCUCUAUCAGCAGGGAAGAAAAUGACGGUACCUGAGUAAGAAGCCCCGGCUAACUACGUGCCAGCAGCCGCGGUCAUACGUAGGGGGCAAGCGUUAUCCGGAUUUACUGGGUGUAACGGGAGCGUAGACGGCAGCACAAGUCUGGAGUGAAAUCCCGGGGCUUAACCCCGGAACUGCUUUGGAAACUGUGCGGCUGGAGUGCAGGAGGGGUAAGCGGAAUUCCUAGUGUAGCGGUGAAAUGCGUAGAUAUUAGGAGGAACACCGGUGGCGAAGGCGGCUUACUGGACUGUAACUGACGUUGAGGCUCGAAAGCGUGGGGAGCAAACAGGAUUAGAUACCCUUGUAGUC
rnacentral:rRNA from 1 species